CUUGUACACACCGCCCGUCACACCAUGGGAGCGGGAUGUACCAGAAGUAGGUAGGCUAACCGCAAGGGGCCGCUUACCACGCUGCGUUUCGUGACUGGGGUG
rnacentral:rRNA from 1 species